rnacentral:rRNA from 1 species
GAUGAACGCUGACAGAAUGCUUAACACAUGCAAGUCUACUUGAUCCUUCGGGUGAAGGUGGCGGACGGGUGAGUAACGCGUAAAGAACUUGCCUUACAGACUGGGACAACAUUUGGAAACGAAUGCUAAUACCGGAUAUUAUGACUGAGUCGCAUGAUUUGGUUAUGAAAGCUAUAUGCGCUGUGAGAGAGCUUUGCGUCCCAUUAGUUAGUUGGUGAGGUAACGGCUCACCAAGACGAUGAUGGGUAGCCGGCCUGAGAGGGUGAACGGCCACAAGGGGACUGAGACACGGCCCUUACUCCUACGGGAGGCAGCAGCGGGGAAUAUUGGACAAUGGACCAAAAGUCUGAUCCAGCAAUUCUGUGUGCACGAUGAAGUUUUUCGGAAUGUAAAGUGCUUUCAGUUGGGAAGAAGUCAGUGACGGUACCAACAGAAGAAGCGACGGCUGAAUACGUGCCAGCAGCCGCGGUAAUACGUAUGUCGCAAGCGUUAUCCGGAUUUAUUGGGCGUAAAGCGCGUCUAGGCGGUUUAGUAAGUCUGAUGUGAAAAUGCGGGGCUCAACCCCGUAUUGCGUUGGAAACUGCUAAACUAGAGUACUGGAGAGGUAGGCGGAACUACAAGUGUAGAGGUGAAAUUCGUAGAUAUUUGUAGGAAUGCCGAUGGGGAAGCCAGCCUACUGGACAGAUACUGACGCUAAAGCGCGAAAGCGUGGGUAGCAAACAGG